UGAGCAAUCUGCCCUUCUCAUCGGAAUAAGCGUUGGAAACGAUGUCUAAUGCCGAAUACGACCUCCUUUCGCAUGAUCGGAGGUGGAAAGCUCCGGCGGAGAAGGAUGAGCUCGCGGCCUAUCAGCUAGUUGGUGUGGGUAAUGGCCCACCAAGGCGACGACGGGUAGCCGGCCUGAGAGGGUGACCGGCCACACUGGGACUGAGACACGGCCCAGACUCCGUAGGA
rnacentral:rRNA from 1 species